AGCGAACGCUGGCGGCAGGCCUAACACAUGCAAGUCGAACGAACCUUUCGGGGUUAGUGGCGGACGGGUGAGUAACACGUGGGAACGUGCCUUUAGGUUCGGAAUAACUCAGGGAAACUUGUGCUAAUACCGAAUGUGCCCUUCGGGGGAAAGAUUAAUCGCCUUUAGAGCGGCCCGCGUCUGAUUAGCUAGUUGGUUGAGGUAAUGGCUCACCAAGGCGACGAUCAGUAGCUGGUCUGAGAGGAUGAUCAGCCACAUUGGGACUGAGACACGGCCCAAACUCCUACGGGGGGCAGCAGGGGGGAAUUUUGCGCAAUGGGCGAAAGCCUGACGCAGCCAGGCCGGGGGAAGGAUGAAGGUUUUAGGAUUUUAAAAUUUUUUCCCCGGGGACGAUAAUGACGGUACCCGGAGAAGAAGCCCCGGCUAACUUCGU
rnacentral:rRNA from 1 species